GAUGAACGCUAGCGGCAGGCCUAACACAUGCAAGUCGAGGGGUAUAGUUCUUCGGAACUAGAGACCGGCGCACGGGUGCGUAACGCGUAUGCAAUCUACCUUUUACAGGGGAAUAGCCCAGAGAAAUUUGGAUUAAUGCCCCAUAGUGUUAUAGAAUCGCAUGGUUUUAUAACUAAAGUUCCAACGGUAAAAGAUGAGCAUGCGUCCCAUUAGUUAGUUGGUAAGGUAACGGCUUACCAAGACAAUGAUGGGUAGGGGUCCUGAGAGGGAGAUCCCCCACACUGGUACUGAGACACGGACCAGACUCCUACGGGAGGCAGCAGUGAGGAAUAUUGGACAAUGGGCGCAAGCCUGAUCCAGCCAUACCGCGUGCAGGAAGACGGUCCUAUGGAUUGUAAACUGCUUUUGUACAGGAAGAAACACUCCCUCGUGAGGGAGCUUGACGGUACUGUAAGAAUAAGGAUCGGCUAACUCCGUG
rnacentral:rRNA from 1 species